rnacentral:rRNA from 1 species
GGUCAGUAGGUUGGUCGUGCCACCGGUACGUACUGGUCUCACUGAUUCCUCCUUCCUGAAGAACCGUAAUGCCAUUAAUUUGGUGUUGCGGGGAAACAGGACUGUUACUUUGGAAAAAUUAGAGUGUUUAAAGCAAGCUAACGCUUGAAUACAUUAGCAUGGAAUAAUGAAAUAGGACGAUCGAUCCUAUUUUGUUGGUUUCUAGGAUUGACGUA